UUAUCUGGCCAAUUUAGAAGAUUAUGUUUUGAAUGUGGUUGGCGGUUUGAUUUAACCUAUGCCAAUUAGAUCAGUCAUUUGAUGACUGAUUAGAUGAGACCUAAACUAAAUCUCUCCAUGAAUAUUAAGUCUAGAGAUCUUUCACCGUUGUAGAUAUGCGAGUGUGUUACUGGUGUUGAUAGUUUUCGACUAGUCACAGUGGUUCAGUUGCACCAGAAACAUGCAACCACUCUAUUAGCAAAGAGUUGCUCCAGGAUAAAGAUAGGGUUGGACCCAAUAACUAUUAGGUCAGGACUCAAUGACUGCUGUGCACCUGCUAGUGAAUGAUGGGUCGGGCUUAACUAAGAAGUGUGGUCAAUAAUUGUCAGAUAAGCCCACAUAACUUAAAGAUCAAGUAACUGCAACAUGCUUAGAAAAGCAUCUAG
rnacentral:lncRNA from 1 species